UCAUGGACACCAGCCGUGUGCAGCCCAUCAAGCUGGCCAGGGUCACCAAGGUGCUGGGUAGGACCGGCUCGCAGGGACAGUGCACGCAGGUGCGCGUGGAAUUCAUGGACAACACAAGCCGCUCCAUCAUCCGCAACGUGAAAGGCCCCAUCCGUGAGGGCGACGUGCUAACUUUAUUGGAAUCGGAGCAAGAGGCUCGGAGGCUGCGCUGAACUUGCUGCUGGGU